UACGUAGGGGGGCAAGCGUUUGUCCGGAUUCAUUGGGCGUAAAGAGCGUGUAGGCGGCCAGGUAGGUCGGUUGUGAAAACUGGGAGGCUCAACCUUCAGAGGUCGACCGAAACCAUCUGGCUAGAGUCCGGGAGAGGAGAGUGGAAUUCCUGGUGUAGCGGUGAAAUGCGCAGAUAUCAGGAAGAACACCCGUGGCGAAAGCGGCUCUCUGGAACGGUACUGACGCUGAGACGCGAAAGCGUGGGGAGCGAACAGG
rnacentral:rRNA from 1 species